rnacentral:rRNA from 1 species
AGUCUGAUGGACCAACGCCGCGCGAGUGAAGAAGGUUUUCGGAUCGUAAAGCUCUGUUGUUGGUGAAGAAGGAUAGAGGUAGUAACCUGGCCUUUUUUUGGCGGUUAAUCAACCAGAAAGGUCCCGGCUUAACUUACGUUGCC